AUCCAGCUAAAGAGUCUCAAAUAGGACGAAACGCACGUCAAACUGGAU
rnacentral:hammerhead_ribozyme from 1 species